rnacentral:rRNA from 1 species
CAGCAGCCGCGGUAAUACGUAGGGCGCAAGCGUUGUCCGGAAUUAUUGGGCGUAAAGAGCUCGUAGGCGGUCUGUCGCGUCUGGUGUGAAAUCCCGAGGCUCAACCUCGGGCUUGCAUCGGGUACGGGCAGACUAGAGUGCGGUAGGGGAGACUGGAAUUCCUGGUGUAGCGGUGGAAUGCGCAGAUAUCAGGAGGAACACCGAUGGCGAAGGCAGGUCUCUGGGCCGCAACUGACGCUGAGGAGCGAAAGCAUGGGGAGCGAACAGGAUUAGAGACCCGCGUAGUCCCUGUCUCUUAUAU